AUCCAGCUGCCGAGUUCCAAAUAGGACGAAACGUGCGUCCUGGAU
rnacentral:hammerhead_ribozyme from 1 species